GACAGCAGUAGCCGCGGGAAUACAGAGGGUGCGAGCGUUAAUCGGAUUUACUGGGCGUAAAGCGUGCGUAGGCGGCUAAUUGAGUCGGAUGUGAAAUCCCCGAGCUUAACUUGGGAAUUGCAUUCGAUACUGGUUAGCUAGAGUAUGGGAGAGGAUGGUAGAAUUCCAGGUGUAGCGGUGAAAUGCGUAGAGAUCUGGAGGAAUACCGAUGGCGAAGGCAGCCAUCUGGCCUAAUACUGACGCUGAGGUACGAAAGCAUGGGGAGCAAACAGGAUUAGAUACCCGUGUAGUCCCUGUCUCUUAUAC
rnacentral:rRNA from 1 species